GACAUUUAACAAAAACCCACCAAUUCACUAUCUCAAGAAAUUAGAAUACAUCAUAAGACCAAUAAAAAAAACAUUUUUAGUGAAUUGUUGGCCUUCUGGAAAGUAUGUUCAUUUACUGUAUAUGUACUCAAUACUUGGUAGGGGCUCCUUUUGCUUUAAUUACUGCCUCAAUUCGGCAUGGCGGUGAUCAGUUUGUGGCACUGCUGAGGUGGUAUGGAAGCCCAGGUUUCUUUGACAGUGGCCUUCAGCUCAUCUGCAUUUUUUGGUCUCUUGUUUCUCAUUUUCCUCUUGACAAUACCCCAUAGAUUCUCUAUGGGGUUCAGGUCUGGUGAGUUUGCUGGCCAGUCAAGCACACCAACACCAUGGUCAUUUAACCAACUUUUGGUGCUUUUGGCAGUGUGGGCAGGUGCCAAAUCCUGCUGGAAAAUGAAAUCAGCAUCUUUAAAAAGCUGGUCAGCAGAAGGAAGCAUGAAGUGCUCCAAAAUUUCUUGGUAAACGGGUGCAGUGACUUUGGUUUUCAAAAAACACAAUGGACCAACACCAG